UAGAUACCCUAUUAUAAAAAUUUAAAUUAAUUUACUAAAAAAUUAAUAGUUAUGUUCUUUAAAUUUAAAAAAUUUGGCGGUAUUUUAGUCUUAUUAGAGGAACCUGUUUUUUAAUUGAUAAUCCACGAUUAAUUUUACUUAUUUUUAAUAGUUCAUAUAUCGCUGUCAUGAAUAUAUUUAAAAAUUUAUUUUCUUUGUUUAUUUUUAUAAUUUAUGUUAAGUCAAGAUGUGGUUAAUAAAUAAGUAUAUAAUGGGUUACAUUAAAUUUUAUUUUUGGAUUUUAAAUGAAAAUUAAAAUGAAAUUGGAUUUAAUAGUAAAUUUAUUUAUUUAAUU
rnacentral:rRNA from 1 species